AGAAAAUUUCAUUUCUCCUUUUUUGUGUUUCUUCACUCCUACUCCAAACUAAAGCGAUUUAACCGACCUAACGCUGGUUGCAUAAGGAGAGAAUCUGAAACCAUUCUGGUGAAUUUGAGGGCAGAAGAAAACACUGCAACCAAAACAGCAGAUUUUUGAAUGAGGUUUUGACCUGAGGACUUUUGUUUCCUCUUGUAGGCAGAAUUCUGGGAAGUGAAACAGUUUUUAAAGAUUCUCACAGACAAUCGAAAACAAUUUGUAAAGUCACCGGUUAAUGUUAAAAGUCAGUUCAUCUCCCGACCAAUCAGUGUUGGCGGUUUGUCCUCGGGGCAGAGACACAGGACGUGGUUGGAGGGGAGGAGUGAAGCAGACAGGAAGAACCGCUGCUUUAUGAAGGAGGGAAACCAUAUAAGGCUGCUGUUGUUUCCCAGUGACUCUAUGCUGCCACCCGCUGGUUAAACGUCCCGAGCAGCUGACAGUUUAAUCAGUGUCUUUGGAAAACGGAGAAAAUACCCAAAGCUGCCGGAGCGACAGCGCUGCGUCUGGGCCGUCGCGGCGCCCCCUGCAGG